ensembl:miRNA
CUGCCUGCAAAAAGGAGCUACCCACUAUAGGUUUCCUCUCCCCUGAGAGCUGGAUACUUGUUGGGACGACCUGCCUGCAGAAAGG